GACCAGAGUGGACGAACCUCUGGUGUACCGGUUGUGACGCCAGUCGCAUCGCCGGGUAGCUAUGUUCGGAAGGGAUAACCGCUGAAAGCAUCUAAGCGGGAAGCCUACCUCAAGAUAAGAUUUCCCUAGGACUUUAUGUCCUCUAAAGAGCCGUUCGAGACUAGGACGUUGAUAGGUUGGAUGUGGAAGCAUAGUGAUAUGUGAAGCUGACCAAUACUAAUUGCUCGUGAGGCUUGACUAUACAACACCCAAGCAGUUG
rnacentral:rRNA from 1 species